rnacentral:rRNA from 1 species
AACGAACGCUGGCGGCAGGCCUAACACAUGCAAGUCGAACGGACCCUUCGGGGUUAGUGGCGCACGGGUGAGUAACACGUGGGAAUAUGCCCUUAGGUACGGGACAACAGCUGGAAACGGCUGCUAAUACCGUAUGAUAUCGAGAGAUCAAAGAUUUAUCGGCUAAGGAUUAGCCCGCUGUGGAUUAGGUAGUUGGUGGGGUAAGUGCCUACCAAGCCUACGAUCUAUAGCCGGUCUCAGAGGACGGUCAGCCACACUGGAACUGAGAAACGGUGCAAAUAUCUACGGGAGGGAGCAAUGCGGAAGAUUGGACAAUGGGCGAGAGCAUGAUCCAGCUAGGCGGCGAGAAUGAUUAAGGCCGUAGGGUUGUACAGUUCUUUUAGUAGUGAAGAUGAUGACGGUAACUACAGAAAAAGCCCCGGCUAACUCCGUGCCAGCAGCCGCCGUAACAC